rnacentral:rRNA from 1 species
AGAGUUUGAUCAUGGCUCAGAUUGAACGCUGGCGGCGUGCCUAACACAUGCAAGUCGAGCGGUAACAGGCGUAGCAAUACGUGCUGACGAGCGGCGAACGGGUGAGUAAUGCUUCGGAAUCUGCCCAGUAGUGGGGAAUAACCAGCCGAAAGGUUGGCUAAUACCGCAUACGUCCUACGGGAGAAAGCGGGGGAUCGCAAGACCUCGCGCUAUUGGAUGAGCCGAAGCCGGAUUAGCUAGUUGGUAGGGUAACGGCCUACCAAGGCGACGAUCCGUAGCUGGUCUGAGAGGACGACCAGCCACACUGGGACUGAGACACGGCCCAGACUCCUACGGGAGGCAGCAGUGGGGAAUAUUGGACAAUGGGGGAAACCCUGAUCCAGCGACGCCGCGUGUGUGAAGAAGGCCUGCGGGUUGUAAAGCACUUUUGUCCGGAAAGAAAUCCUCUGGGUUAAUACCUCGGGGGGAUGACGGUACCGGAAGAAUAAGCACCGGCUAACUACGUGCCAGCCGCCGCGGUAAUAC